UACGAAGGGGGCUAGCGUUGUUCGGAAUCACUGGGCGUAAAGCGCACGUAGGCGGUCUUUUAAGUCAGGGGUGAAAUCCUGGAGCUCAACUCCAGAACUGCCUUUGAUACUGAGAGACUUGAGUCCGGGAGAGGUGAGUGGAACUGCGAGUGUAGAGGUGAAAUUCGUAGAUAUUCGCAAGAACACCAGUGGCGAAGGCGGCUCACUGGCCCGGUACUGACGCUGAGGUGCGAAAGCGUGGGGAGCAAACAGG
rnacentral:rRNA from 1 species